rnacentral:rRNA from 1 species
AGAGUUUGAUCCUGGCUCAGGACGAACGCUGGCGGCGUGCUUAACACAUGCAAGUCGAACGGGAAGAGAUGAAGAGCUUGCUCUUUAUCGAAUCCAGUGGCAAACGGGUGAGUAACACGUAAACAACCUGCCUUCAGGAUGGGGACAACAGACGGAAACGACUGCUAAUACCGAAUACGUUCCACGGGCCGCAUGACCUGUGGAAGAAAGGGUAGCCUCUACCUGUAAGCUAUCGCCUGAAGAGGGGUUUGCGUCUGAUUAGGCAGUUGGUGGGGUAACGGCCCACCAAACCAACGAUCAGUAGCCGGUCUGAGAGGAUGAACGGCCACACUGGAACUGAGACACGGUCCAGACUCCUACGGGAGGCAGCAGUGGGGAAUCUUCCGCAAUGGACGAAAGUCUGACGGAGCAACGCCGCGUGAGUGAAGACGGCCUUCGGGUUGUAAAGCUCUGUGAUCCGGGACGAAAGAGCCUGAGGUUAAUAGCCUAAGGAAGUGACGGUACCGGAAAAGCAAGCCACGGCUAACUACGUGCCAGCCGCCGCGGUAA